GAUGGACGCUGGCGGCGUGCCUAAUACAUGCAAGUCGAGCGAAUGGAUUAAGAGCUUGCUCUUAUGAAGUUAGCGGCGGACGGGUGAGUAACACGUGGGUAACCUGCCCAUAAGACUGGGAUAACUCCGGGAAACCGGGGCUAAUACCGGAUAGCAUUUUGAACCGCAUGGUUCGAAAUUGAAAGGCGGCUUCGGCUGUCACUUAUGGAUGGACCAGCGUGGCAUUAGCUAGUUGGUGAGGUAACGGCUCACCAAGGCAACGAUGCGUAGCCGACCUGAGAGGGUGAUCGGCCACACUGGGACUGGGACACGGCCCAGACUCCUACGGGAGGCAGCAGUAGGGAAUCUUCCGCAAUGGACGAAAGUCUGACGGAGCAACGCCGCGUGAGUGAUGAAGGCUUUCGGGUCGUAAAACUCUGUUGUUAGGGAAGAACAAGUGCUAGUUGAAUAAGCUGACACCUUGACGGUACCUAACCAGAAAGCCACGGCUAAUUACGUGCCAGCAGCCGCCGUAA
rnacentral:rRNA from 1 species